rnacentral:rRNA from 1 species
AACGAACGCUGGCGGCAGGCCUAACACAUGCAAGUCGAGCGAGGACUUCGGUCCUAGCGGCGGACGGGUGAGUAACGCGUGGGAACGUGCCCCUUGGUACGGAAUAGCCCCGGGAAACUGGGAGUAAUACCGUAUGAGCUCUACGGAGGAAAGAUUUAUCGCCAAGGGAUCGGCCCGCGUUGGAUUAGGUAGUUGGUGGGGUAAUGGCCUACCAAGCCGACGAUCCAUAGCUGGUUUGAGAGGAUGAUCAGCCACACUGGGACUGAGACACGGCCCAGACUCCUACGGAAGGAAGCAGUGUGAAUCUUAGACAAUGGGCGCAAGCCUGAUCUAGCCAUGCCGCGUGAGCGAUGAAGGCCUUAGGGUUGUAAAGCUCUUUCAGCUGGGAAGAUAAUGACUGUACCAGCAGAAGAAGCCCCGGCUAACUCCGUGCCAGCAGCCGCCGUAA